rnacentral:lncRNA from 1 species
UAGAAUCGCUUUCACCAACAAAUAAAAUGGAAAACCAGCCAAAGCUUAUCUUACACAGGUAUUACAAUACCUCACCACCCAUAACACUAAAAUGGCACUCUUAUGGUUUUACCCUCGAGCUAGCUCACUUUGCGUAUAUGCACAUAUAUACAUACAUACAUACAUACAUACAUACAUACAUACAUAUGUGCGCGACGACAAGUACAGGAAAAAUAGAAGUAAUAGGUGACAGGUACAGAAAGUAUGGGUACGUUAUUUGCGUGAUGGAUCGGAUGCG